rnacentral:tRNA from 1 species
GCGGGUAUGGCGGAAUUGGCAGACGCAAUGGAUUUAGGUUCCAUCGAGUUUCCUCGUGCAGGUUCAAGUCCUGUUACCCGUACCA